GUGGAGGAUAAGGGCCAACUAAUGCUCGUACGAGCUUUUGGAGCCACUCAGUGUUAUGGCUAUUGAUAUUGUUGGGGGAAUACUCAACGAUGUUGAUCUUGUGGGUUUGCCGGGGAAGGAGCACGACUUGUCUUUAGUGCCUCCUUCCUUAGAGGGUCUGCCUUUCCUCCUUUAAAGGUGACUUCUUCUAGCAAGAAUUUUCUGAGAGCAAAGAACGCGUGAUUCAUUGGAAAAGUUUUGAGUUUCGUUCACCCCGUCAACAACUUAGAAGUUAUUCACAGAUUGGGGAAAGAGAUAAGUGUGUUCUUUCUUGGUGAAGUUUUUAGGAGCCUGUUCCCGGGAUUUUUUUGUAGAGCUUUCAUUUUUUGCACAUCUUUGUAAGCUCUGCAAGAUUUUUAUUAGGUUUUUGGCGUUUGCUCCUUAGCUUCUAGUUUUUGCUCAACUCUUUUGUGAGGCCUUAUGUUGGUCUUGGUAACUGUUGGGAGUUUUUUUUCUUCUCUUUGAGGGUUUUUCUUUGUGUUUCUCGUUGAUUAACCUUGUUGGUGUAAUCUUCACUUUCGCUCCUUCCGUGAGGGUUAUAUGACUUCUAUCCUCAUGGGCCUUUGGUGGAUAAUAUUAAUCUUUUAAUUUUAAUAAUAUAUGUAUAAUAUUAGAAAUAUGCAUAUAAUUUUUUUGGUCAGUAUUAGAAAUUAAAUACACAAGUGAGGUAGGGAUCCACCGAGGAGUACUGGACCCAGAAAUCUCUCUUGAUUUAUUUGUCCUGUUCUCUUAAUUUAUAGGGUGUCACAGAUAUAGUAUUAUAUAUUUAGAAAGUGGAUGCACCAUCGUACCACCUGAGAAACAACGCCCCAACUUGCAUUUAACUUUACCAAAAGAGAAAAAUUAACAAGUACGUAUAGGUACAUUUACUUAUCAGUUUUGUUUCCAAUGGGAAUGUUUGAAUUGGCUUCAGCUACUAGAUUCUGGGUAAAUGCAUGGUACUGAGGUCACUUACCAAGGUUUCAUCCCUGACCUGUUCAAUGGGGCUGUUUUUGUUUUUGUCUUUUGUUAGAUGAAAUAUAUUAAUGCAAAUGGCUUUACAGGGAUUCAAUCCUAAUUCCUAAAUACAUGAACCACGAGGUAAAUGUAUCUUCAGCGCAGCCUCAACUUUCUUGAAUGUAUACAUGAACCUGCAUUCUAGUCAUAUAAGAAUGUAUUAGACUAGACCACUCCUAUAUAUAACUUGCCCAAUUACUUUAAUUUCCGAAUUUUGACUACUAAUAAACUAAGAAACAGAGAUUGCUCUGUUUCAUCUUAUGGCUUUGAUGCAAAAGAAUUGAAUGGAAGAGAGUCAAAAUUAUGGUAAUGUAUUUGUGCUAAUGUGUGUGAAGAUGAAAAUGAAUUACUAGACCUGCACUUCAAUACAUGAUGACAGGGCGUAGCAACUGGACAGAUGUUUCUAUGUUCUUCAAAAGCGCCAUGAGAUAAGCGUUGCGUUGAGUUGACUCAACACCAAAACAAAAAUGCACCAUGUCAAAUGAUCCAGUGACGCUAAACAGGAUAUUAUAUCUAUCGAUAUUAUCCCCAAACUUUGACAGCAUCCAUCUCAAAAUAAGAAAAGAGACCAACUAACCCAAUUACAUAAAAGGUUCAUUCUAUGACAUUCUUGUUUAGCUAAGUAGUUGGAUAUAAUGUUAGAUUCUCUGUAUAUGUGCAAUUGACAUGUUAACUUUCUGAAAUCAAUCCUGUUUAAAUAAUUGAGGAGUUUGCA